AACUGUCCUGACCACUCACUCUGUCUCACUCCUAGGGUUUCUAAGAGACAGGAAAGGAUGCUUCAAAGCAGCAGAGAGCUCUUGGCAGGAGGGUCAUCUCAGAGGCCCAAGAAUAUGAAGUGAUUUGUCCAAGGUCGCACAGACAGUUAGCGUCUGAGGAUAACUCUCUGGGUUGAUGAGGCCAAGAGAUGCAUUCAGAAAUGGAGGCUGUAUAAAAAUGAAUACUUCAUAAAUUCUCAUUGAUUGGGGAAUGGUGAAACAACCCAUGACACAUGAAUGGGAUGGAAUGUGAAAAUUCAGAGAAGCAUCAGAAGACUUCUGAACUGAUGACAUGGGGAGAAGUAAGCAAAACCAGGAAAACAAGGUGCACAAUGACCACAACUAUGUCAAUGGAACAAACAGUAACAGGAAUAGGAAUUGACACGGGGUAUUUAUAAUGAACAAGCUUGACCUCAAAGGAGGCACGUGAAAAGGGUUUUCUUGGCGGAGAUGCUGGAGUGGUUUGCCGU